rnacentral:rRNA from 1 species
CCUACGGGAGGCUGCAGUGAGGAAUAUUGGUCAAUGGGCGCGAGCCUGAACCAGCCAAGUCGCGUGAGGGAUGACGGUCCUACGGAUUGUAAACCUCUUUUGCCGGGGAGCAAGCGUGCGUUCGUGAACGCGCUUCGAGAGUACCCGUAGAAAAAGCAUCGGCUAACUCCGUGCCAGCAGCCGCGGUAAUACGGAGGAUGCGAGCGUUAUCCGGAUUUAUUGGGUUUAAAGGGUGCGUAGGCGGUAUGCCAAGUCAGCGGUAAAAAUGCGGUGCUCAACGCCGUCGAGCCGUUGAAACUGGCGGUCUUGAGUGGGCGAGAAGUAGGCGGAAUGCGUGGUGUAGCGGUGAAAUGCAUAGAUAUCACGCAGAACUCCGAUUGCGAAGGCAGCAUACCGGAGCCCGACUGACGCUGAGGCACGAAAGCGUGGGUAUCGAACAGGAUUAGAUACCCCAGUAGUC